rnacentral:rRNA from 1 species
GUGAGGAAUUUUCCGCAAUGGGCGAAAGCCUGACGGAGCAAUGCCGCGUGAAGGAUGAAGGCCUAUGGGUUGUAAACUUCUUUUCUCAGAAAAGAAUUAUGACGGUAUCUGAGGAAUAAGCAUCGGCUAACUCUGUGCCAGCAGCCGCGGUAAGACAGAGGAUGCAAGCGUUAUCCGGAAUGAUUGGGCGUAAAGCGUCUGUAGGUUGUUUAAAAAGUAUUCUGUCAAAGAUUAGGGCUUAACCCUAGAUAGGCAGAAUAAACUUUUAAGCUAGAGGUUGGUAGAGGCAGGGGGAAUUCCCGGUGGAGCGGUGAAAUGCGUAGAUAUCGGGAGGAACACCAAAGGCGAAGGCACUCUGCUGGGCCAAUACUAACACUGAGAGACGAAAGCGAGGGGAGCAAAUGGGAUUAGAAACCCGAGUAGUCC